UACGUAGGGUGCGAGCGUUAAUCGGAAUACUGGGCGUAAGGCGUGCGUAGGCGGUUGGCAAAGUCAGCUGUGAAAGCCCCGGGCUUAACCUGGGAAUGGCGGUUGAAACUAGUCGACUCGAAUCUGGCAGAGGGGGGUGGAAUUCCACGUGUAGCAGUGAAAUGCGUAGAGAUGUGGAGGAACACCGAUGGCGAAGGCAGCCCCCUGGGCUGAGAUUGACGCUCGAG
rnacentral:rRNA from 1 species